ACUGCUCCUGGUGGAAGAAAGAGGAGUUAACAUGCUAGCACGGGAGUGUGCAGAAGAGGCAGUUAAGGAGCGAAGCCAAAAAUCCCCACUGCAGUGAUCCCAACCUUCGUGAACCCUAGGUCCUGCUUUCAACGAGAGGAAGCGACGUUGCCUAAGAUGUACAACAUAGUGAUUCAACAAUUCCGCACGUCACCUGGUGCUCAUCAUGUAUUGAUGUUCCCUUGGGGAAAUAACAAAGGCUCUUCUUUGACUGGCAUGGAACGAAAGUUCCCCAUGCUCGUGGGGACGUCGGGACAGGCAGCAGAAGCGGCUUGGAGCAUUUCAUCAUGUCGGUGCUAACUUACUGUCACAGCUGUCACAUCCUGGGGAAAGUCACGAGAUAGGAAGUUUAAGAAAUGUCCAAGUAUGACAAAUCAUAGUAUAAAACUUAAAUAUAAGUGCCUUUAUCAUCAAGGAAAUGAAUGAAAGACAAAGCCUCCCAGCCCUUAAGCAGUUGUUUAGCAGAUGUCAGCUGCCUCGUUUAUAAAAUGAGAAAAUUGGGGUGGAUAAUACUAAGAUCCCUUCUGCAUAGCUUGCUUCAUGCUUUUUCAGGAACCAAAAGUUCUUGUGGCCGAGACAAGGAACUGACAGAAAACAGUAAUGGUAAGAAUAACGAUAAGGAUGGUGCUAGAGUCAUACAUGGUAUCAGCCUUCAGUAACGCCAGUCCGUGUCAGUACCAGGCACUGUGGUAUUCACCUGAGGCUAUCCUCAGGUGAUAACAUGUUGCCCAAAUUUGGCCUUAAAGGGGUUUGCUGUGUUCUAGAGCUAGACAACACAACAGUGUGGUGGUCAGAAAAUCUUUGUUCCAGUCCCAGGGUUCCAGCUUUCUGAUCUUCUAUCAUUCUGCAAGUUGUUAGGCAGCUAUUUUCAUGUUGGUAUUGUCCACUCUCUUGUAAUCCCGUCCAGGGCAGGGAUCACCAACUCUUCACCUCUAUCUCCCAUUCUAUCUUUGCAUGUGCUUUGCAGACAGUAGAUACUCAAUACAUGUCAUUUGAAUGAUCUGUCUACAAAAUAAUAUUGAAAAUAAUACUGCCACUUACAAAAUAAGUGGCAUUUCACAUGAAAGAAUAUUCAUAUAGUAUCUACCACUUAAAAUAUUUGCUUUGCUUUAUGCGCAUUAAACAUUUGACCCUUUCUUCAAGCGUUAGGUCAGGUUCAUCUUUUUCUACGAAGAACUCAUCGGUUGUUACAACCCUGGAUGAUGACUUCUUAUUUUUUUGUACCACUCAGGUGUCUUAGUAUCUUGAGUCUAUAUCACAUUAGGUUUUUAGUUUAUCACAGGAAGAAUCAUUCCAUGUCUCCUUGUAUCCUGCCAGCAUGCCACUUUCACAACAAAGGUGCUAAAUAAAUAUUUGAUAAUGAUCAUAGUGAUCAUAAUGACCAAUAAUAUGUGACUUACUAUUAAGGGUUCAGAUCAUUUGCUUAUAGAAAAUCCCCCAAAUACUUCAACCACAUGUUUUCUAGCAGGAGAGUGCUUGGGAGUGGCAGCUUUGUCCCUGUGUUCUUUGGUAUGGGCCUUCCUCCCAGACCCCUGCAGCAUGCUCUAGCUCGUACCCAGGCAUAGCCUUCUCUAUAUUUUAUUGCUUUAGUUUUUCUGGAAGCCAGGGGAUUUGGAGGAAGAUCAAAUGUUUAAAAAAAAAGGGGGGGGGGCGCCUGGGUGGCUCAGUCGUUAAGCGUCUGCCUUCGGCUCAGGUUAUGAUCCCAGGGUCCUGGGAUCAAGCCCCGCAUCUGCUCUGUGGGAAGCCUGCUUCUCCCUCUCCCACUCCCCCUGCUGUGUUCCCUCUCUCGCUGUGUCUCUCUCUGUCAAAUAAAUAAAUAAAAUCUUAAAAAAAAAAAAAAGAAUAGACAUUGUAGACAUUUGAGGUCACUGUAAUCUAAUGGGAUAAUCUGUAUACACACCACUGAAAAUAUGUAAGAAUGUAGAAUAUAGAAAUACAGAUGUACUAUAUCUUGGGGCGCCUGAGUGGCUCAGUGGGUUAAGCGUCUGCCUUCGGCUCAGGUCAUGAUCUCAGGGUCCUGGGAUCCAGCCCUGGUUGGACUCCCUGCUCAGCGGGGAGCCUGCUUCUCCCUCUGCCUCUGCCUUUCCUGCUUGUGCUCGCUCUCAAAUAAAUAAAUAACCUUUAAAAAAUGUACUAUGUCAUACAUAUACAACUGUAUCUCUCUCUCUAUACUCAGAGGCAGGACUAGUCAAAGAAGGAGAGAGGAGGAGGAGUGGAAGGAAAGCAGGAAGAGAGGGCAAGAUGAACAUGGCUACUAAGAGGGAGAGAUGGUGCUAAGUGAGGCUUUGGGGUGAGUGUGUAUGACUUCGUGUGGUAUAUGGAGCCAACUGGCAUCCUGGAAUGGAGCUUAUGCUCAGCAGGUUAAGAAGCUGGUUGAGUAAGGGGGAAAAGUCAGCUGAAAGGGGGCCUUAGGCUCAGUAUGAAUAAUGGACAGUUUCUGAGAACAUCAUAAGCAUUAUACAUAACUUACCUGUGUUCAAAACAGUGCUUGAGGAAGAUGAACUGUGCUAUGCUAAUAUUAGCUAGCUAACAUUUGGUGAGCACUGACUGUGGGUCAGGUUCAUAUACGUAAAGGCUUCACAUACUAGCCCAUUUCAUCACAACCACCCUAUGAAGGAGGCACUGCUACCUCUAUUGUACGGGCAAGGAAAGGGACGCAAUGAUCUGUUAAAGUGGCAUCUUUCCCCAAAGUCCCACUGCUUCUGAGUAGCAGAACUGGAGUAUGAACGUGGGCAGUCCAACUCAAAAACUGGUGUUCCUACGCAUUAUGUCACAUGGCCUUCUCUUUCCACAGAGCUGUUUAUCUACACAACAGCCAGCCAGGAGAGUCCUCAGGAGUUCGUAGUAAUAUGAAGCAUAUAGUGAGCUUGCACCGUGGCCGCAGAAAAGCAACGAAGGGAUGAAACUGAAAAAAAUUCCCAGUGGAAAACCAUUUUUUUAAAGAUUUUAUUUAUUUAUAUGAGAGAAAGAAAGAGAAAGAGAGCAGGAGAGCACUAGUAUGAGCGGGGGGGAGGGGCAAAGGGAGAGGGAGAAGCAAACUCCCUGUGGAGCGUGGAGCCCAACAUGGGACUCUGAGAUAAGGACCGGAGCCAAAAUCAGAUGCUUAACUGACUGAGCCAUCCAGGCGCCCCUCAUUUUUUUCUUUUUAAGUAGGCUCCAUGCCCAGCAUGGGGCUUGAACUCACGAUCCUGAGAUCAAGAGUCGGGUGCCCUACCUUCUGAGCCAGGGAGGUGCCCCCUCCAUUGGAGAGUCAAUUAGACUAGCUAGGUAGAUCUGAAAAAUGGAGAAGAGAGAUUAGAGAGGUAAGGAUGAUGUUUGUGUUUAUAUGAUUUCAUUCCAAAAAUAUUUAUUGAGACUUCCUAUGUGCCAGGGACUGUGCUGGGGAAGAAACAGUGAACCAAAUAGGCAAAGUCCUGGCACUUACAGAGCAAGAUUGUGUUAUUAGUAAAAAAUCAGUUAUUUAUGUAUAGACCAUGUCUAGAAGGAAAUACAACAAAGUGGUAACACUAGUUGUUCAGGAGGGGAACAAGAUGGAAGCAGGGGCACGUAUAAAAGGGGAAUUUCAGUUUUAUGCCUUUUGAAUUUUAACACAUUAUGUGUUAUCUAUUUAAAACUCAUUUUUUACGGUGCGCCUGGGUGGCUCAGUCGUUCAGCGUCUGGCUUUGGCUCGGGUCCCGAUCCCAGCGUCCUACGUUGCGCUCCAUGCUCUGCAGGAAGCCUGCUUCUCCCUCUCCCACUCCCCCUGCU